CGCUCACCCACUGAGCCAGCCGGCUGACCCAAGUCCCCUUCCUAGCGUGGCACCAACUGCACCCAGGGGUCCUGUGCCCACGGGGAGACGUAAGGUGCCCGGGAAGCCCCAGGUGCUGACGCCAGGCCUUGCCCUCUCCCUGGAAAGUGUGAUGGACCCAAAAUGAAAUGCCCUGUACUGGGAAAGAGGAAGACUGAGCUGAAAUGGCAUCACCCCGGGCGACGUGAGCUUUAACAUCCGAGCGAAACAGGCGCAAACCAGUAUCUGUGGGUCCCGUGGGCACCUCUGGGCCGUGGAACGUGGAUGUGAGUCGGGGCCUGAGUGUGCUGCCGCGGGGUCAGUCGUUGCCCCUUCACCCUCCCCUGCCCCGUGGGGGUCAGUCGUUGCCCCCUCGCCCUCCCCUGCCCCGUGGGGGUCAGUUGUUGCCCCCUCGCCCUCCCCUGCCCCGUGGGGGUCAGUCGUUGCCCCCUCGCCCUCCCCUGCCCCGUGGGGGUCAGUCGUUGCCCCCUCGCCCUCCCCUGCCCCGUGUCCACGGCCGCAUGGCGCUGAGGGGAUGACUGAUGAAUGGUGGUUUCUGUUUCCUCUCUGGAAUGUGCUGCAUGAUCCAUCAGGUCCACUUCCUGGUGAUUCACACUCGACAGGUCACCUCCCCUCUUUUGAAGCGACUUUGAGGCGGGGGUGGGGGUGUCCUGGCCACACAGCAGGGACAGGAAGGGCCUGUAACAAUGGACACUGCCCACCGUUUCCUGCAUCUCCCCCCGCGGGGCCUGGGCCGGCCCUUCUGACCCGUCGGCAGCCCAGGGAGCUGGACGGGCAGGUCUUAGGACAGUCACUGCACCAGGGGCUGGGGCGGGGGAAGGGGUGGCCGGUACUCGCUCUCAGGGUGACUGGCCAGACGGCCGCCCCCACCUCCUCUCCUCUUAGCCCCACGGGGAGCCUCCCUCUGUGUCAGGUCAGAACUCUUACCACCCAGUUCCGAGCGAGAUGGAAAAACAAGCUGUGUGCUGACCGUCACAGACAUGCCUACCCUUUACCCUCUGUGUGCACGUGUGGGACUCAGUGCCUUGUUAAGAAAGAAAAA